GUUAUAAUGAAUUAGAAGUGGUGUUUGUGAGACCUGGAGUUUGGAUGGAAUAAAGUCAAAGUAAUAAAAUCACCAAUGGAGAAAAAAGGGGAGAGCCACAUGGAUUAGAGAUAGGAGUAGAUUAGGUGGGCUUUUCUCCAUAAAGAAGCCAGCUGGUAUAGCCAGCCACACCAUGCUGCUUAUACACACAUGGUGGCUCAUAACCAUCCAGUUCCUGGGAAUACAGUGGCUUCCUUUAACUUUAGUGGGCAGCAAGCAUGCACAAUAGCCAUAUACAUAUGUAGAGAAAUCUUAAAAAAGAAAAGAAAAGAAACUAAACAAAACAAAAAUCCCAAAACAAUAGUGAUCAGAAAAGAGCACCCUUACAACACAGUAGCCAAAUUUUCAAAACAAACAAACAAACAAACAAACAAACAAAAACAGUAAAAAUGUGAGGGAAAAACACCAAUUCACACAUAGAGGCAAAAACAUUAAGACAUGAGAUCUCUUGUCAACAGCCCUUAAUUUAGAAGUUCAGGAAAGGAUAUUUUAAAUCCUGAAAGUAAAUAAUUCAAAACUGCAAUUGUUAUACCUCUCAAAUUGAAAGUAAAAUUCUACAAGACAAGCACAAGUUAGUUAACAACCAAACCAACACUGUAAGAAAUUUUACUAUAAUAAACACUAAUUUAAAAGGUUGACCUCAGAUACUACAAUAUUUCUGAAUGAUGGUUAUCAGAGAGAUACUAAGUAAAUUAUCCAAUGGUUACUUAUAGCAUUAUAUAUACCUAUAUAGAUAUACAUACAUUUGUUCGCAUAUUUGUGUAUGUAUACAUAUAUAUACACAUACACACAUACACACACACACACACACACACACAUAUAUAUAUAUAUAUAUAGAGAGAGAGAGAGAUUAAAACCCUCAUCUUGUAGGGAGGCUCCUUAAGACACUGGCUGUUAGCAGGGAAGUAAAACUGCAUCCUACAGGGAAGCUCCUUAAACUCAGUUAGUAAACAACUCAAUAACUUCAGGAAGUCACUGUGGCUAAUCAGUCACCAGUCCCUCCUCCAAGAGGCAUAUAUAAACAGUAAGGACUGCAAAGAGACAGUCACAGACCAGCACAGAAGCCUGAAGAGGUACAUCACCCAAGCUACCUACGAAAGAAAAAAAAAAAAAAGAAACUAGCCCACUUGCCUGGAAGAGUCUCAGAUCAACAGAGCUACCUGGAAAGGCCUCAAACCAGCUGAGCUGUACAGUACACUCCAGGUUUCUAGAUUUUGUGAGCUGUCAUCCAGGCUUGGGUGGUUUUUUAAAGUCAUGCUGCAGUCAUUUCUGCUGUUAGUAAUCUCUCACCCAAAUUCCUGUAAAUACGUUCAAUAAAGCUCAUUGGUUC
rnacentral:lncRNA from 1 species